UGAGCUCGGCCUUGAGAGGACUCCCCACUGGGCACUGGAACAUCAGAGACAGCUAAAAAAUAAAGUCAAUAUGCAGUCAAAUGCAGUGCUAAUUAAUGAAGAGAUGCUGCUGUUAAUACUUUAAGAUGCAAAGUACAAUGACUCAAAAGUUCAUAUGUGUCUACAUACGUAGAAAUGGAUAUAGAGAGCUA